UCGUUAUUGGUCAUCAAAGGACGAUGGAAAGGCCUCUUCGGAGUCUACAUGGGGUCUGCAGUGAGCGAGGACGAGGGAAGAAAAGGAUGAAGGAUGUGCGGCGGCACCUCUCCCAGAAACUGGCGGAUUGCCAGAGAAAGUAGAACAAUGCUCAGUUCGAACUAUAAAAAAUUUGAAUGACA
rnacentral:lncRNA from 1 species